rnacentral:snRNA from 10 species
AUACUUCCAUGGACGGGGUUAAUGGACGAUAAAUAAGACCCAUAACCUAGGUUGAUGACUUUCAUUGAACUUUAGGAGGGUGGCCACCUAAAGUCGGUUCAAGUGGUCAUGUUUUAACUACUGUGUUGUUGACACAUAUGUGACUACCU